UACGUAGGGUGCGAGCGUUGUCCGGAAUUAUUGGGCGUAAAGGGCUCGUAGGCGGUUUGUCGCGUCGGGAGUGAAAACCAUGGGCUUAACUCAUGGCUUGCUUCCGAUACGGGCAGACUAGAGGUAUGCAGGGGAGAACGGAAUUCCUGGUGUAGCGGUGAAAUGCGCAGAUAUCAGGAGGAACACCGGUGGCGAAGGCGCCGCUCUGGGCCGAAACUGACGCUGAGGAGCGAAAGCGUGGGGAGCGAACAGG
rnacentral:rRNA from 1 species